rnacentral:rRNA from 1 species
CCUACGGGAGGCAGCAGUGAGGAAUAUUGGUCAAUGGGCGUAAGCCUGAACCAGCCAAGUCGCGUGAGGGAUGAAGGUUCUAUGGAUCGUAAACCUCUUUUAUAAGGGAAUAAAGUGUGGGACGUGUCCUGUUUUGUAUGUACCUUAUGGAUAAGGAUCGGCUAACUACGUGCCAGCAGCCGCGGUAAUACGGAGGAUCCGAGCGUUAUCCGGAUUUAUUGGGUUUAAAGGGUGCGUAGGCGGCCUUUUAAGUCAGCGGUGAAAGUCUGUGGCUCAACCAUAGAAUUGCCGUUGAAACUGGGAGGCUUGAGUAUGUUUGAGGCAGGCGGAAUGCGUGGUGUAGCGGUGAAAUGCUUAGAUAUCACGCAGAACCCCGAUUGCGAAGGCAGCCUGCCAAGCCAUGACUGACGCUGAUGCACGAAAGCGUGGGGAUCAAACAGGAUUAGAUACCCCAGUAGUC